rnacentral:rRNA from 1 species
GACGAACGCUGGCGGCGUGCUUAACACAUGCAAGUCGAACGGAAAGGCCCUGCUUUUGUGGGGUGCUCGAGUGGCGAACGGGUGAGUAACACGUGAGUAACCUGCCCUUGACUUUGGGAUAACUUCAGGAAACUGGGGCUAAUACCGGAUAGGAGCUCCUGCUGCAUGGUGGGGGUUGGAAAGUUUCGGCGGUUGGGGAUGGACUCGCGGCUUAUCAGCUUGUUGGUGGGGUAGUGGCUUACCAAGGCUUUGACGGGUAGCCGGCCUGAGAGGGUGACCGGCCACCUUGGGACUGAGAUACCGCCCAGACUCCUACGGGAGGCAGCAGUGGGGAAUAUUGCACAAUGGGCGGAGGCCUGAUGCAGCAACGCCGCGUGCGGGAUGACGGCCUUCGGGUUGUAAUCCGCUUCCGCCUGUGACGAAGAGGGAGUGACGGUAAUGGGUAAAGAAGCACCGGCUAACUACGUG